rnacentral:lncRNA from 1 species
CUUGUAUGUUUAAAGAGUAAGGUUGUGCUGACCAGGAAAGAGCACUGGGCUGUGAGUUUGGGAACUGGAGGUCACAGGUCUUGCCUUUGUCUUCCUUUUGUGAUCGAGAAGCCAUACUGUGGCUGGCCAUGAAUAACUGCAAUUGCAGAAGGUGAAACUGGU